GUUCACAUAAAGAUGAGUAAGUAACUUGUUGAUUUUAGAGAUGUACUGGCUGGUGUAAAGUGCAAUCAAUGUUACUGAACGCUACUUUAUGUCAUAGAGAAUACGUGAUUUUAAGUGGUAAGAAAUUUAAUUAAGUUAUAAAUAGUUUCUUUUAUAGCUACUAUUAUUUUUCUUAUAACUAGGGUGGUACCGCGAUAACGUUCGUCCCUUUG
rnacentral:misc_RNA from 1 species